rnacentral:rRNA from 1 species
GCAGCCGCGGUAAUACGUAGGUGGCAAGCGUUGUCCGGAAUUACUGGGUGUAAAGGGUGCGCAGGCGGGAUAGCAAGUCAGCUGUGAAAACUAUGGGCUCAACCCAUAGACUGCAGUUGAAACUGUUGUUCUUGAGUGAAGUAGAGGUAGGCGGAAUUCCGAGUGUAGCGGUGAAAUGCGUAGAUAUUCGGAGGAACACCAGUGGCGAAGGCGGCCUACUGGGCUUUAACUGACGCUGAGGCACGAAAGCAUGGGGAGCAAACAGGAUUAGAUACCCC